rnacentral:rRNA from 1 species
AUGAUUGGCCUCUUUUGGAACUGUAGGGGGGAAGGUAAGAAAGGCAUGUCUACCUGCCUCACUGACAUGAUUAAUGCCAAUGAGGUGGAUUUCCAAACUAUGAAGAGUAACUAUACUCCUUCCUUCUUUAGAAAAUUGGACCCACACCAAAAAUUUAUUUGGGAGUGGAUUCCAUCCAGGGGGAAAUCUGGAGGUAUCCUAUGUGGGAUCAAUAAAGAUAAGUUUGAUAUCCUUGAGGUGAAGCAUGGGAAGUUUAUUUUGCAAAUUAAUCUUUUUGAUAAGAGUAAAAAAUGUAAUUGGGCCCUGCUGGUGGUCUAUGGGGCUGCUCAGGAUGAAAAUAAACCUGAGUUUAUAACAGAGAUGUCCUCUAUGUGCCACAAAACUACUAUUCCUUACCUAGUUGGUGGGUUUUUAACAUCCUAUGUCAUAGUGGGGAGAAAAACAAGAAAACCUCCUUGUCUCAUUUUUCUGAUGUGUUCAAUUCGGUUAUACACCUGCUGGGGCUGA